GGAGGCGAACGGUGACUGGUGUUGCCCACGGGCUUCAAACCCGUUGAGAGUCUGUAAAGCAGGCUCUGGUGGGUUCGAUUCCCACACGCCUCC
rnacentral:tRNA from 1 species